UUCGCAAUGCCCGAAAGGGUGACGAAGCGACGCCGCGUGCGGGAGGAAGGCCUUCGGGUUGUAAACCGCUGUCGGGAGUUAAGAAAUGCAAGGAUGUUAAUAGCGUUCUUGCUUGACUAAGGCUCCGGAGGAAGCCACGGCUAACUCUGUGCCAGCAGCCGCGGUAAUACAGAGGCGGCAAGCGUUGUUCGGAAUUAUUGGGCGUAAAGAGCACGUAGGCGGCCUUGCAAGUCAGUUGUGAAAGCCUUCCGCUUAACGGAAGAACGGCAUCUGAUACUACAGGGCUUGAGUACGGGAGGGGAGAGUGGAACUUCUGGUGGAGCGGUGAAAUGCGUAGAUAUCAGAAGGAACGCCGGCGGCGAAAGCGACUCUCUGGUCCGAAACUGACGCUGAGUGUGCGAAAGCUAGGGGAGCAAACGGGAUUAGAUACCCCGGUAGUCCUAGCCGUAAACGAUGGGCACUAAGUAGAGGGGUUUU
rnacentral:rRNA from 2 species